rnacentral:rRNA from 1 species
GAUGAACGCUAGCUACAGGCUUAACACAUGCAAGUCGAGGGGCAGCAUGCAGGUAGCUUGCUAUCUGUGAUGGCGACCGGCGCACGGGUGAGUAACACGUAUGCGACCUGCCCCGGACAGGGGGAUAAACCCGGGAAACUGGGUCUAAUACCCCAUAUGCCCUGAGGACGCAUGUCCUUAGGGUGAAAGAUCCGUCGGUCCGGGAUGGGCAUGCGGCGCAUUAGCUUGUUGGCGGGGUAACGGCCCACCAAGGCGACGAUGCGUAGGGGUUCUGAGAGGAAGGUCCCCCCACACUGGUACUGAGACACGGACCAGACUCC